rnacentral:lncRNA from 1 species
AUCAUAUUACAAAUGACAUACUUCUGUAUAUAGCAUAUAUAUAUAAAUAUAUAUAAACACUCAAGUUAGUAAUAACAAGGUAAGAAAUUAAAAAAUGUAAUUGAUUAUGACAAAGUUAAAUCCAACUAAAAUUUAGCUAGUAUUUGAGUUUCAAAUUGAUGCUAGAAUUGAGAAAUAUAUCAAAUUUAGUUUUCUACUGUCUGAAGGGCAAAUUAGAGAAACCGAAAAAUGAAAAAAACUAUUAAGGGUGCGUCUAUUGCCACCCCACAUGUUAUUGAUUUAUUGAAAGACCAAAAUACCCUGAUGUAAAAUUACAGCAACGGACGAUAAACGGACGAUAAGUUGUUAUAAAUUACAAAUUCUUUUUCUUUAAUGUUUUUGUUUUGGAUUAACACGUAAUUCAUAAACCCUAACCCAAAAUUUAUCACAUUUGUUGUUCUAUGGAGUUUGAAGAAGCUAGCAUGCAUUGCUCUCCAUGUUGUAGUCGGAUACAGGUAGAUUCUCAUCUUUGUUCGCUCUAGAAUAUUUGUGUAGAUAGGAAUCAUAGGAUUUGUGUUGCUAGUCUAUUCUUCUUCACGAUCGUCGAAGCAGACGAAGCUCGCCAAGGUUAGCAAGACAAGAAGCGCCUUGACCCGGAAUUCACAUAAGGCGGUCAACACAACCUCUGUAGAAUACAAUUUGAUCAUCACCUCCAAAUGAUCCCAAGGUCCUAACAUAAUAUAUAUGGAGUUUUAUGCCCAUCACUCGGUAAAGUAUUUGUUUAUUUUCAUCAUAAAGCUUCCAUGUAUGUGGUAAUUCAGGGUGAUAUUUUGAUGUCAUUUAGUAUAGAGUUUCUGAACUGGUGAACCUGUUAGGUCUUUUGGGAAGAAAAAGAACUUAUAUCGAUUAGAUACUUACUUCUGCAUAUAUACUUUCAAUUUGGUUCAGUUUACUUCUGCAUAUAUCAAUUAUAUACUUCUGCAUAUAUACUUUCAUUUUGGUUCAUUUUACUUCUGCAUAUAUCAAUUAUAUACUUACUUCUGCAUAUAUACUUUCAGUUUAUUUCUGCAAAUAUACUUUCUAUCGAUUAGUAUACUUACUUCUUGCAUAUAUACUUUCAGUUUGG